GACGAACGCUGGCGGCGUGCUUAACACAUGCAAGUCGAACGGAAAGGCCCUGCUUUUGUGGGGUGCUCGAGUGGCGCACGGGUGAGUAAAACGUGAGUAACCUGCCCUUGACUUUGGGAUAACUUCAGGAAACUGGGGCUAAUACCGGAUAGGAGCUCCUGCUGCAUGGUGGGGGUUGGAAAGUUUCGGCGGUUGGGGAUGGACUCGCGGCUUAUCCGCUUGUUGGUGGGGUAGUGGCUUACCAAGGCUUUGACGGGUAGCCGGCCUUGGAGGGUGACCGGCCACAAUGGUACUGAGAGACGGCCCAGACUCCUACGGGAGGCAGCAGUGGGGAAUAUGGCACAAUGGGCGGAAGCCUGAUGCAGCAACGCCGCGUGCGUGAUGACGUGCUUCGGGGUGUAAACCGCUGUCUCCGGUGACGAAGCGGGAGUGACGGUAAUGGGUAAAGAAGCACCGGCUAACUACGUG
rnacentral:rRNA from 1 species